AAUAAGUUUCAUCAAUUUCUUUAAUAAUAUGGAAGGAAGCCACGAUAUUCAGCACUUGCGACUUUUUUGACUACCCAUUAUCUACCAUAAGGCUUCUGCUCUUCAACGCAGUCUGCAUUUAUAAAUACUUAUAAUUCGCCUGCUGUCUAACUGACGCCUGUCUGCAAUACUUAUUUGUUGCAAUCAUCAUUAACUCUUGUUAACAUUCAAUUAUUCGUUGUAUUCAACUAAAUUUGGCUUGACUGAGAUCUGUGAAGUUUACUAUUAAGUACGCCGUUUGAAUGCUUUAAUUCAUUUUAAAAUUUUUUUGCCAACACCGAAUUUCGAUUGCAUUGCGCCUAUUUUGCCAAGUUUGAGGUAGUUGCGUUAAUAAGAAUGCAUAUGAUUAUAACGGAAAAGGCAAACAGGCAUGUAUAAUAUUAUAUAUACCAUAUUUACAUAUUCACUUAACUACUACUAUUUAAUACAUCUAUUUAAGUCAAGUAUUCGCUCACCUGAAAGCUUGUCUGACAUCCGG